GCUAACCAAGAAGUCUUUGGUGAUAGUGAGUGCUUUUAUUUUAAACUACUGCCGACAGUUUUAUUAAAUACUGAGAAGAAGGAAGUGGUGUAGAUGUUGUUGUUACGCUUUCGUGUCCUGGAUGUGCUCAACAUUUCACGUAGACCUUAUUGGCUGUCCUGAAUUAUAAUGAAAACGGAGGUCGCUCACAAGCAUCGACAGUGGAUGGUGCAAGCCACUACGCAAUAACUUUCCCAGAGUUCAAGAAAGGUGGUGCCGUUGUCAGACCAGUGAUGGUUGCAGCAAGUUAUGAGUAUGUAGACAAACUGUUGGACCUUGUGGUUAAUCGCUGUAAUGAGGGAGUUACCAGCCAAGUCAAGUAGAUAUUCCAUCGUUUCUUUGCAGCAGCUUUGAGCGACCUGACAAAGCAGAGGUUAUUGCUGCUCACCGCACACGUUCCUUGAA